UUUGAAUUCUUGCUUUAAAAAUAUGUAAUCCACUUAAGAGUUUGGGAUCAUGCCUGCCACUCUGAAACAAUAUCUGAGAUGGAUAAGUGAACAUAUUUUGAAUGACACAAAUGGUUCCCAUCUACGGAAAGCAAUGACAGAAUAUGCAAAUGGUUAUGAAGAAAUGGAAGAAGAGAGAACCUCUCAGAAGGAUUGGGGAAUGAUGUCUAAUGGCUACAGGAAAGGAAAAAUGUGGAUGGAAUCACACUACAGGAAAGAACAAAGGCAAAAGAAAGACCCGGAAGAUGAGCCAGUUGAUCCUGAGGCUAAAUGAGGUGUUUUUGCUCAAAAGUAGUUUUAGCAGUGGUUGCGAAAGAAACAUGCUGACAGCUGAGGGAAGACUUCUGGCAGAUGGAGGCUAUUACAGAGAACCACAACUGAUCAAAGUACAGAGAAUAAGUGACUGCGGGAUAUCUAUAUGACACUUAUUGCUGGAGAUAGAGAGCCAGUGCUGAGAUGAAGAUGAGUGAAGACCUCUCCCUCAUCAAAGAAGCUUCUUUUUGCAACAUAUGAAAGCUAUUACUGAGGACCAGAACUGGUCGAAGUGGAGAGAAUAAGUAACUGAGGAGUGCCCAGCCCCAAAUGGGACAUCUGUAACAUGGUUCCUAUACCCAAGACUGAGAGAACAUUAUGGAAGGGGGCUACAAAGAUUCUAAGAGUCAGAGGACUGGAAGAACUGGAAGUACUGCCAACAAAAUACUUUCUUCUGGGCACGACAAGGCUUGUGUGCCCAUGGACUCUCAAAGUUAUGAUUGCUUGCAUAAGACCUGCAAGACUACACCAGUCGACAUUCUAACAUGGAUGGAGGAAGGCCUUACAAGGCCUCACACCUAGUUGAAUAGCUACAAGCAGUCAACAGUUGAUGUAGGAUAGUUAAGAGAGUUUUCUUUAGGGGCAAGCCCCUAUAUAAGUUGCCAAGGCCCACGGGGUCAGCCCUACACCUGUGUAUGUGGUGGCACCUGAAAUAUGUAAAUUUACAUUAAAGAACUAGGCAAAGGACCUGAAUUUCUCAAAAUACAGCCUUAAUUAUUGGUUAAAAAGUUUCAAUGUAUUUUAUUAACAAAUUUAUUAUAUAGAAUAAUGGGUUUCCUUAUGACUUUAUACAUGUACGUAAUAUAUUUUAAUCAUAUUCAUCCUCCACACCUUAACCUCUCUUGUUCCCUCCCCUCCACUGCUGCUAAUCUUCCCAAACUAGAGCAUCCUCUACGUUCAUGUCCAUUUUUCUUUUUUAUUUGGGAUUAUGUUAUAAUUACACCAUUUCUCUCCUCCUCUCAAACCCUACCAUAUAUCCGUUCUUACUCUUUUUCAAAUUCAU
rnacentral:lncRNA from 1 species